rnacentral:rRNA from 1 species
AUACCGGGCCUUUUUGGGCUUGGUAAUUGGAAUGAGGGAGAGUUAAACGGACCAUCGGGUAUCCAUUGGAGGGCAAGUCUGGUGCCAGCAGCUGCGGUAAUACCAGCUCCAAUAGCGUAUAUUAAAGUUGUUGCAGUUAAAAAGCUCGUAGUUGGACUUGUGUGCGCUGUCCGCGGGUGGCCUGCGCCCAAAAGGGCGUUUCGGUUCGGCCCCGGUGGCGCCUUGAAAUCUGCAGCUGGGGGGACGUUGGCCUUAACUGGUCGGCGACCGCACGCCGGCUGCUCGGUUACUGUGAGAAAAUUAGAGUGUUCAAGGCAGGCAUUGGGUGCAAUUGAAUACAUUAGCAUGGAAUAAUAAAGUAUGGCUCCUGCCGUAUUUUGUUGGUUUUGACUGGUGGGAGUAAUGAUUGAUAGGGACGGUUGGGGGUGCUAGUAUUGAGCGGCCAGAGGUGAAAUUCAUGGAUUCGCUCAAGACUAACUUAUGCGAAAGCAUUCACCAAGGACGUCCUCUUUAAUCAAGAACGAAAGUUGGGGGAUCGAAGACGAUCAGAUACCGUCGUAGUCUCAACCAUAAACUAUGUCGACUUGGGAUCGGCGGUAGUUUUUUCAUUAAGACACUGUCGGGACCACGGGAGAAAUCAAAGUGUCUGGACUCUGGGGGAAGUAUGGUCGCAAGGCUGAAACUUGAAGGAAUUGACGGAAGGGCACCACCAGGAGUGGAGCCUGCGGCUUAAUUUGACCCAACACGGGGAAACUUACCAGGUCCAGAGAUGUAGGGGAUUGACAGAUUGAAGCUCUUUCUUGAUCACUUCGGUGGUGGUGCAUGGCCGUUCUUAGUUGGUGGAGUGAUUUGUCUGGUUAAUUCCGUUAACUAACGAGACCUCAGCCUGCUAGUGUAGUCGGCUGGAUUGCCUUUGGCGAUCCGUGAUUUCGACUUCUUAGAGGGACAAUCGACGCCAGUCGAUGGAAGUUUGAGGCAAUAACAGGUCUGUGAUGCCCUUAGAUGUUCUGGGCCGCGCGCGCGCUACACUGCUGGGCUCAGCGAGUUUUACUUGGCCGAGAGGCCCGGUUAAUCUUGUGAAAUCCCAGCGUGCUUGGGCUCGCCUCCUGCAACUGGAGGCGCCAACGAGGAAUUCCUAGUAGACGCAGGUCAUCAACCUGCAUCGAUUACGUCCCUGCCCUUUGUACACACCGCCCGUCGUUCCAUAAGAGUGAGGCAUCCGGUGAAUUCUCGGGAGAGCCUGGGCGUGGCCAGCAAUGGUCUGCUCGGGUUUGAACUUGCAUAAACUUGGUGCCUAUGAUUAGGG